rnacentral:rRNA from 1 species
CCUACGGGUGGCAGCAGUAAGGAAUAUUGGACAAUGGUCGCAAGACUGAUCCAGCCAUGCCGCGUGCAGGAUGAAUGCCCUAUGGGUUGUAAACUGCUUUUGUACGGGAAUAAACCCGGGUACGUGUACCCGGCUGAAUGUACCGUAAGAAUAAGGGUCGGCUAACUUCGUGCCAGCAGCCGCGGUAAGACGAAGGACCCGAGCGUUAUCCGGAUUCAUUGGGUUUAAAGGGUGCGUAGGCGGAUUGAUAAGUCAGUGGUGAAAUCUCCGGGCUUAACCCGGAAACUGCCAUUGAUACUGUCGAUCUUGAAUAUGGUUGAUGUGGGCGGAAUAUGACAUGUAGCGGUGAAAUGCUUAGAUAUGUCAUAGAACACCGAUUGCGAAGGCAGCUCACAAAGCCAUUAUUGACGCUGAGGCACGAAAGUGCGGGGAUCAAACAGGAUUAGAUACCCCUGUAGUC